rnacentral:tRNA from 1 species
UGUUCUAUGGCCGAACUGGUAAAGGCAUUGCCGAUCACAGGCAAGGCUUCGGGUUCGAGUCCCGCUCGAACGG